AGGGACAGAGGGAUUUAAAAUGAGAGGAUCCAGAGAGGAAUUCAUUCAAAGUCAUUCUGUGUCAUUCUAGUUUGUGGAAAACUCAUGGAAAACAGUAUCUUUUCAUGAUGCUUUAUUUACACAAUAGUUUAUUUGGGGGUAAUUAUACAAAAAAAAUGAGAAUGAAGAUACCUGCAGAACUAAAUAAAUGCUUAGUGAAAGUGUUUGGAAAAAUUAAAAUGAUUAUCAUGACAGAAAAUGACGGGAAAAGGAGGAGACAAAAUGACAAAACCAGAUGAAAAAAAAGAGAAAAGUCUGUCGUCAUAGAGAGGACUGCAGUGAACCAAAGGCAGAAAGCAUGAAGGAGGAAGAGGAAAGAGGCUCUGAGCUGCAGCGAGAGCCGGACAGACAGCUGCUGACAGAAAAAGAGUGAGGCGGAGGGUUUGCAGAUUCACUUGGACACUUUCACAGAAGCUGUUCUCUCGUUUCCACCUGCGCAACAUCUGGCUCUGCCGUCGCCGCUGCUGCUGACUCAGAGCUCUGUCCCCCCUCUGGUCACCGGUGGGAUCCAUCUCCAGAGCACUGACUGAACUACAUCUCCCAGCAACCCCAGCGCACAGUUCCUGGAUGCUACUCAGCUGUCUCUCAUUUGCCAAUCACACACAGGACACUUAAGCACUGAACAGAGCCUCACUCAGUGUAAAGUAUUAUUUGUGUCACUGUCAUUUAAAAAGAAAAGAA